rnacentral:ncRNA from 1 species
UCCCGUCGCAUGUGCGGGUCAUCACAUGCACCUCCCUGUUGGACUGUGGCCGGGCCUCGUGCCCGGUCUUUUUU